AACGUAGGUUCCGAGCGUUAUCCGGAUUUACUGGGCGUAAAGCGCGUUCAGGCGGUUUGGCAAGUCGGGCAUGAAAUCUCUCGGCUCAACCGGGAGAGGUUGUCCGAUACUGCUGGACUUGAGGGCAGUAGAGGGUGGUGGAAUUCCGGGUGUAGUGGUGAAAUGCGCAGAUAUCAGGAAGAACACCCGUGGCGAAGGCGGCUCUCUGGAACGCAACUGACGCUGAGACGCGAAAGCGUGGGGAGCAAACAGG
rnacentral:rRNA from 1 species